UAACAUACUACAACAAAACUCCAGAGUCCUUUCAGUCCAGAUUUAAAAAAACAACAAAAAAACGUCUGUUUGUUUCACGAUGACUAUCGCGAUCUGCGAUAUGACGUCACAACGAUCAUUCGUGGAUUCUCGUGAAAGCGGACACGCCGCGCGCCGGUAUCUCGCGCACAAACCUUCCGUAAGCUGAAUAAAUUGAUGCGUUUCACUCUUGAAUUCGGCUAAAUGUACAGUGAAAGGCGUAAAGAUAGAGAAUUAAAGUCUCAAAUUUUAAAUAGGUACAAUCGUUGAUCUUCCAAGACAAUGUGGAUUUUAUACAUAAGAAAACUAGAUAGCGAUUAUGUCUGCUUAGGAAGUUAAGAAAUUUUGACAUUGAAAGGAGGAUCUUAAGCAUUGUUUAUAGAUCAAUGAUUGAAAGUGUUUUAACUUAAUAUUGUUUCAUGGUAUCUAACACGAGUAAUCAAUGAAGCAAAACUUGGAACUCCUAAUCAGAUGAUAACAUUACUGCCAGCCAGGUGGUGGUUAAUUAAUUUAAUUAACGAGAUGAACGCGUUCCUCGCUGACAAGACGACUCCACUUGUUUCUUCAGAGCCCUUUCACCGCUGCUUUUGUUUCCAGGUUUGUCGUAGUCAUUAGAUGCGUGUGGCUCUUUUUGUCUUGGUUUCUUGUGUGUUAACUGAAGUUCACUACCGGCUCCUCGGGUAGAUGGAGAUUCGGUGCUGAAGGUCUCCAGAGCGACUGAAGAAAGCAAAAUCAUGUUCAGACGUUACUUAUCUUUGACCUUCAUCCAAACAGACAAACCGAUUUACAAUCCAGACAAACGGAGUUGUCUCCAUGGAUCCCAAAUCUGAGCCUUUUGAUCAAAUGUACAGUCUGGUCGUGGUGGAGAAAAGCGCAGAGCAUGUAAAAACUCAUGAAGUACAGGACGGCGAACCCAGAGCCGCAUGUGAACUCUUCUCCAGGGAGGUAAUCUGACUUUGGGUCACAGCGCUGACCGUACAAACAACCCAACAUGAUCUCCUGCCAGCUCUCACCUGUGGCACACCUGUGGACAGGGACAAACAGAGGACUAUCAGACCUGGAAUGAUUUGAUGAAGGUCCACAGCAGGUUUCGGAUCCCCUCAAAGCGGUUGAGCAGUUUUACCAAACGCAUGACGCGGAAAAGCCGGAACAGUGUGAUUGACACACUCAUGUUCUCGGAGUCCUGAGGAACAAACGCAAACGCUCAGGAAUCCACGGUUAACACCAGCUCAUUUCUUCACUGAAUCUCCACUUACUGCUAUGGCUUGCAUUGGGUUUACUUCCUGGAACAAGAGAUUAUAUAUGGCAGGGAUUACACGUUGAAUCAUUUCACUUGCAAAAUCAAAGUGUUGUUUAAUUAACCUUUGUGCAUCCUUUAAAAAAUGUUACACACAGGUCCAUUGAGGACAACAAUGUCUCACACUCUACAAAUUUGGUCUCAUUUUAGAGAAGAUCCUUGGCAGAUUAUUUAAGUAAAAAAAGUUAUAGAGGUUUAAGUUUAUGAACAAUAUUUUAUAUAAAAUAUAUAUUUUAUAAAACAUGUUGAACUCUAAAACUGCUAGAAAAUCAUAAAUCUAAACAAUUUGCGUUCCAAAUUUGAGGUUGAUAUCUCAAAAAACUGGCUGUUUGAGCGCAGUAACACACUUUCUCCAAUAGAUGGGACACACACUGAUUGGAGUUUUUCUCUCAAAUAUUACAAGCACACACACAAACCAUACUCUGACAUUACAUGACUCAUUACAUCCGCAUAAUUUAUCCAAUUUCCUCUAUAAUAUGCAUAAGCAAAAAACAGGGCCGUUUUGUCCUUAAGGUCCUGAGAGGAACUAUUGUGUGUUACUAGUGCAAAAUAGAUAUAUUAAAGGAAAUGGGGGUGAAAUAUUGAAAUUCCAAUAAAAAUACACGCCUGUACCAAUUUUUAUGCAGUUAGCAUUAACACAGGCAAAAUUAUCAAGAAAACAAAACUGAGAAAUGCCCAUAAGGAUGCACAAGGGUUAAAGUUGCUGACAUGAACUCAUUAAUGGAGUCAUGGAUGUAGAAUAACAGGAUUGGUGUUUACCGAGCAGCCGGUGAGGCAGUAGAGUCCGCCCUGAGCGGCGAGCGCCGCCUGGAGAGAGAAAACCAGUGAAGAAGAGUCUCAGCCAACGUCAGCGACACAACAGACACAUGGUGUUGAGCAUGAUGAGGAGGAACAUCAGGUACUCGAAGUAGCACGAGGUGACGAUGUACCACACCUGAUACUGAUACGGGUUCUUGGGGAUGUAGCAUCUCAGAGGCCGGGCCUUCAGCGCGUACUGGACACACUGGCGCUGGCGGCGGAAAGGAUACUUCCACUCUACAAUGUUGAUGCAGGCCUUGCGGAAGGGGUUCUUCAGCGUGAGGAAGAGGAGGGAUCGAGCGGGC